rnacentral:rRNA from 1 species
AGUGAACGCUGGCGGUAGGCCUAACACAUGCAAGUCGAACGGCAGCACAGUAAGAGCUUGCUCUUACGGGUGGCGAGUGGCGGGCGGGUGAGGAAUACAUCGGAAUCUACUUUUUCGUGGGGGAUAACGUAGGGAAACUUACGCUAAUACCGCAUACGACCUACGGGUGAAAGCAGGGGAUCUUCGGACCUUGCGCGAUUCAAUGAGCCGAUGUCGGAUUAGCUAGUUGGCGGGGUAAAGGCCCACCAAGGCGACGAUCCGUAGCUGGUCUGAGAGGAUGAUCCGCCACACUGGAACUGAGACACGGUCCAGACUCCUACGGGAGGCAGCAGUGGGGAAUAUUGGACAAUGGGCGCAAGCCUGAUCCAGCCAUACCGCGUGGGUGAAGAAGGUCUUCGGGUUGUAAAGCCCUUUUGUUGGGAAAGAAAAGCAGCAGGUUAAUACCCCGCUGUUCUGACGGUACCCAAAGAAUAAGCACCGGCUAACUUCGUG